UACGUAGGGACCGAGCGUUGUCCGGAUUCAUUGGGCGUAAAGAGCUCGUAGGCGGCCACUCAAGUCGAAUGUGAAACCUCGAGGCUUAACCUCGAGCCUGCAUUCGAUACUGGGCGGCUAGAGUCUGGUAGGGGGAUCUGGAACUCCUGGUGUAGCGGUGAAAUGCGCAGAUAUCAGGAGGAACACCGGUGGCGAAGGCGGAUCUCUGGGCCGAUACUGACGCUGAGGAGCGAAAGCGUGGGGAGCGAACAGG
rnacentral:rRNA from 1 species